ensembl:lncRNA
AUGGAAGGACAAGUACCAGAACAGUUGAUUUGCCGAAGAUGGGCCAAUAUUUGGGAAUGGGAAGGUUCAAUCUACAGUAAACUCGUUGCCAGUUUAAGUUCUGGGAUACAUGUGCAGAAUGUGCACGUUUGUUACAAAAGUAUACAUGUGCCAUGGUGGUUUGCUGCACCCAUCAACCUGUCAUCUGCAUCAGGUAUUUCUCCUAAUUCUAUUCCUACCCUAGCCUCCAUCCCCUGACAGGCCCUGGUGUGUGAUGUUCCCCUCCUUGUGUCCAUGUGUUCUCAUUUUUCAUCUCCUACUUAUGAGUGAGAACAUGUGGUGUUUGCUUUUCUUUUCCUGUGUUAGUUUGCUAAGAGUGAUGAUUUCCAGCUUCAUCCAUAUCCCUGCAAAGGACAUGAACUCAUUCUUUUUAUGGCUGCAUAGUAUUCCAUGGUGUAUAUGUGCCACAUUUCUGUACUUAUUCUAUCAUUGAUGGGCAUUUGGGUUGGUUCCAACUCUAUUGCUAUUGUGAACAGUGUGGCAGUAAACACACAUGUACAUGUGUCUUUAUUGCAGAGUGAUUUAUACUCCUUUAGAUAUACACCCAGUAAUGGGAUUGCUGGGUCAAAUGGUAUCUCUGGCUCUAGAUCCUUGAGGAAUCGCCAUACUGUCUUCUACAAUGGUUGACUAAUUUACACUCCCACCAACAGUGCAAAAGCGUUCCUAUUUCCCCACAUCCUCACCAGCAUCUGUUGUUUCCUGACAUUUUAAUGAUUGCCAUUCUAACUGGCAUGAGAUGGUAUCUCACUGUAGUUUUGAUGUGCAUUUCUCCAAUGACCAGUGAUGAUGAGCUUUUUUCAUGUUUGUUGGCCACAUAAAUGUCUUCUUUUGGGAAGUGUCUGUUCAUAUCUUUUGCCCAGUUUUUUUUUUCUUGUAAAUUUGUUCAAAUUCCCUGUAAAUUCUGCAUAUUAGCCCUUUGUCAGAUGGCUAGAUUGCAAAAAUUCUCUCCCAUUCUGUAGGUUGCCUGUUCACUCCGAUGACAGGUUUCUCUGUUUGUUUGUUUGUUUGUUUGAUUACUGUGCAGAUGCUCUUUAGUUUAAUUAGAUCCAACUUGUCAAUUUUGGCUUUUGUUGCAAUUGUUUUUGGUGUUUUAGUCAUUAUGUCUUUGCCCAUGCCUAUGUCCUGAAUGGUACUGCCAACAUUUCCAUCUAGGAUUUUUAUGAGUUUUGGUCUUACAUCUAAGACAUUAAUCCAUCUUGAGUUAAUUUUUGUAUAGGGUGUGAGGAAGGGGUCCAGUUUCAGUUUUCUGCUUAUAGCUAGCCAGUUUUCCCAACACCACUUAUUAAAUAGGGAAGCAUUUCCCCAUUGCUUGUUUUCUUCAAGUCUGUCAAAGAUUAGAUGAUUGUAGAUGUGUGGUGUUAUUUCUGAGGCAUCUGUUCUGUUCUAUUGGUCUAUACAUCUGUUUUUGUAUCAGUACCAUGCUGUUUUGGUUACUAUGGCCUUGUAGUAUAGUGUGAAGUCAGGUAGCGUGAUGCCUCCAGCUUCGUUCUUUUUGCUUAGGAUUGUCUUGGCUAUGCUGGCUCUUUUUUGGUUCCAUAUGCAAUUUAAAGUAGCUUAUUCUAAUUCUGUGAAGAAAGUCAAUGGUAGUUUGAUGGGAAUAGCCUUGAAUCUAUAAAUUACUUUGGGCAAUAUGGCCAUUUUCACAAUAUUGAUUCUUCCUAUCCAUGAUCAUGGAAUGUUUUUGUUCUCUCUUAUUUCCUUGAUGGUAGUUCAUAGUUCUCCUUGAAGAGGUCCUCCACAUCCCUUGUAAGUUGUACUUCUAAGUAUUUUAGUCUUUUUGUAGCAAUUGUUAGUGAGAGUUCACACAUGAUUUGGCUCUCUGUCUAUUAUUGGUGUAUAGGAAUGCUUAUGAUUUUUGCAUAUUGAUUUUGUAUCCUGAGACUUUGCUGAAAUUGCUUAUCAACUUAAGGAGUUUUUGGGCUGAGACGAUGGGGUUUUCUAAACAUACAAUCAUGUCAUCUGCAAACAGAGACAAUUUGACUUCCUCUCUUCCUAUCUGAAUACGCUUUAUUUCCUUCUCUUGCCGGAUUGCUCUGGCCAGAACUUCCAGUACUAUGUUGAAUAGGAGUGGUGAGAGAGGGCAUCCGUGUCUUGUGCCUGUUUUCAAAGGGAAUGCUUCCAGCUUUUGCCCAUUCACUUUGAUACUGGCUGUGGGUUUGUAUUAAAUAGCUCUUAUUAUUUUGAGAUAUGCUUGAUUAAUACCUAGUUUAUUGAGUGUUUUUAGCAUAAAGGGUGUUGAAUUUUAUCAAAGGCCUUUUCUGCAUCUAUUGAGAUAAUCAUGUGGUUUUGUCAUUGGUUUUGUUUAUGUAAGGAUUACGUUUAUUGAUUUGCAUAUGUUGAACCAGACUUGCAUCCCAGGGAUAAAGCCAACUUGAUCAUGGUGGAUAAGCAUGUUGACGUGGUGCUGGAUUCAGUUUGCCAGUAUUUUAUUGAGGAUUUUCACAUUGAUAUUUAUCAGGGAUAUUGGUCUGAAAUUUCCUUACAUCACAAAAUUUCCUUUCCAUUCACAACAUUUUUUGUUGUGUCUCUGCCAGGUUUUGGUAUCAGGAUGAUGCUGGCCUAAUAAAAUAAGUUGGAGAGGAGUCCCUCUUUUUCUAUUGUUUGGAAUAGUUUCAGAAAGAAUAGUACCAGCUUCUCUUUGUACCUCUGUACAAAGAGGCUGUGAAUGUGUCUGGGCCUGGGCUUUUUUGGUUGGUAGGCUAUUAAUU